ACCCUUUUCACGCUAAAAAGCUCGAGAACACAUAUUUUCCUCAUUUCUCUCCAAUACUCACCAUAUGGUGAAAAUGCCAGGUCUAAAUAAUUGUAUGAAAGCCUCCCAGCACCAGCUAUCCGAGGCCUGCUGCAACAAGCAAGAUCAUUAACUUUCAAGACUUCUCUUGCUGGUUCAGCUGAUGAAACAAUAACGACCGGUAUGCGACCAAGCUGAAGGUGCAAGACUGGACCAUAUUUCCGAGAAAGUUGGCAGAGAGAGCUAUGUGGCAGUGCACCAAGUUGGUGCAAGUUGCCUAAAAUUGGAAGCUUGGGGGGACUCGGUGGAAGCCGGUUGAGUUCUUUCUUAACUUGAGUCCUCUUUCUGAAGAGUAGCAACAGGGCAAGAAGGAGAAAAGGAAGCCAAAAAAGUGGAGUAAGAAAACCCAUCACAGCUUUAGUUUUUGGCAAAGGCGUCUUGAGCUUCCUCGAACUCUCUUUUACUCCGUAAAAGGCUACUAUGUAUCUAUUUAUGAAUCAUCAACAUCCGUCUGGAAG
rnacentral:lncRNA from 1 species